rnacentral:rRNA from 1 species
CACGGCGCACGGGUGCGUAACACGUGGGUAACCCGCCCUCCAAAGGGGGAUAACCCGCCGAAAGGCGGGCUAAUACCGCAUGACAUUCCGGUAGCUUCGGCCGCCGGAAUCAAAGCCCGCAAGGGCGUUGGAGGAGGGGCCCGCGGCCGAUUAGCUUGUUGGCGAGGUAACGGCUCACCAAGGCUUUGAUCGGUAGCCGGUCUGAGAGGAUGGCCGGCCACACUGGAACUGAGACACGGUCCAGACUCCUACGGGAGGCAGCAGUGGGGAAUCUUGCGCAAUGGGCGAAAGCCUGACGCAGCGACGCCGCGUGGGGGAUGAAGCUUCUCGGAGUGUAAACCCCUUUCGACCCGGACGAAACGCCCGCAAGGGCUUGACGGUACGGGUAUAAGAAGCCCCGGCUAACUACGUGCCAGCAGCCGCGGUAAGGCGUAGGGGGCCAGCGUUGCUCGGAAUUACUGGGCGUAAAGGGUUCGUAGGCGGUGUGGUAAGUCGGAAGUGAAAUCUCUGGGCUUAACUCAGAGGCUGCUUUCGAAACUGCCGCGCUAGAGUGCGGGAGAGGAUAGUGGAAUUCCUGGUGUAGCGGUGAAAUGCGUAGAUAUCAGGAGGAACACCGGUGGUGUAGACGGCUAUCUGGACCGUAACUGACGCUGAGACACGAAAGCGUGGGUAGCAAACAGGAUUAGAUACCCUGGUAGUCCACGCCCUAAACGAUGCAUAUUUGGUGUGGGCAGUUCAGUCUGUCCGUGCCGGAGCUAACGCGUUAAAUAUGCCGCCUGGGGAGUACAGUCGCAAGGCUGAAACUCAAAGGAAUUGACGGGGGCCCGCACAAGCGGUGGAGCAUGUGGUUCAAUUCGA